UAUAAGAGGUCCAGCCUGCCCAGUGACCAAGUUCAACGGCCGCGGUAUCCUAACCGUGCGAAGGUAGCGUAAUCACUUGUUCUUUAAAUAAGGACUAGUAUGAACGGCACCACGAGGGUUAUACUGUCUCCUUUUUCCAAUCAAUGAAACUGAUCUUCCCGUGAAGAAGCGGGGAUACUUCUAUAAGACGAGAAGACCCUAUGGAGCUUCAAACCAAAUAGCAUCGGCUAUACCUUAAUAUUUUAAUCAAUAACUUUUAUUAUCGCCCUCUGACUAUUAGUUUUAGGUUGGGGUGACCGCGGAACAAAAAUUAACCUCCAUGGUGAAAACUUUUCCUGAGCCAAGAGCCACAGCUCUAAGCACCAAAACAUUGACACAAAUUGACCCAAUAACUUGAGCAACGAACCAAGUUACCCUAGGGAUAACAGCGCAAUCCACUUCAAGAGCUCCUAUCGACAAGUGGGUUUACGACCUCGAUGUUGGAUCAGGGUAUCCUAGUGGUGCAGCCGCUACUAAUGGUUCGUUUGUUCAACGAUUAAAACCCU
rnacentral:rRNA from 1 species